UGCCCUGCUUGAACUUCUUGAAGAAGGCUGAA
rnacentral:piRNA from 1 species